rnacentral:rRNA from 1 species
UGGGGAAUAUUGCGCAAUGGGGGGAACCCUGACGCAGCAACGCCGCGUGCAGGAAGAAGGUCUUCGGAUUGUAAACUGUUGUCGCGAGGGAAGAAAAAAAUGACGGUACCUCGUGAGAAAGUCACGGCUAACUACGUGCCAGCAGCCGCGGUAAUACGUAGGUGACAAGCGUUGUCCGGAUUUACUGGGUGUAAAGGGCGCGCAGGCGGGACAGCAAGUCAGAAGUGAAAUACCGUGGCUCAACCACGGGGCUGCUUUUGAAACUGUUGUUCUUGAGUAUCGGAGAGGAAAGCGGAAUUCCCAGUGUAGCGGUGAAAUGCGUAGAUAUUGGGAGGAACACCAGUGGCGAAGGCGGCUUUCUGGACGACAACUGACGCUGAGGCGCGAAAGUGUGGGGAGCAAACAGG